GCCUGGGUGGCUCAGUCAGUGGAGCGGCUGACUUCAGCUCAGGUCAUGAUCUCACGGUCCGCAAGUCCAUGAGUUCGAGCCCCAUGUCGGGCU
rnacentral:tRNA from 1 species